AACAGGAUUAGAUACCCUGGUAGUCCACGCCGUAAACGAUGGAUACUAGCUGUCUGGCUCACAUUGGUGAGCUGGGUGGCCAAGCGAAAGUGAUAAGUAUCCCACCUGGGGAGUACGUUCGCAAGAAUGAAACUCAAAGGAAUUGACGGGGGCCCGCACAAGCGGUGGAGCAUGUGGUUUAAUUCGAUGAUACGCGAGGAACCUUACCAGGGCUUAAAUGUAGUCUGACAGGAUUGGAAACAGUCUUUUCUUCGGACAGAUUACAAGGUGCUGCAUGGUUGUCGUCAGCUCGUGCCGUGAGGUGUCAGGUUAAGUCCUAUAACGAGCGCAACCCCUGUUGUUAGUUGCCAGCGAGUCAAGUCGGGAACUCUAACAAGACUGCCGGUGCAAACCGUGAGGAAGGUGGGGAUGACGUCAAAUCAUCACGGCCCUUACGUCCUGGGCCACACACGUGCUACAAUGGCAGGUACAAUGGGCAGCCACUACGCAAGUAGGAGCGAAUCCACAAAACCUGUCUCAGUUCGGAUCGGGGUCUGCAACUCGACCCCGUGAAGCUGGAAUCGCUAGUAAUCGGAUAUCAGCCAUGAUCCGGUGAAUACGUUCCCGGGCCUUGUACACACCGCCCGUCAAGCCAUGGAAGCUGGAAGCACCUGAAGUCCGUCACCGCAAGGAGCGGCCUAGGGUGAAGCUGGUAACUGGGGCUAAGUCGUAACAAGGUAACC
rnacentral:rRNA from 1 species